GUGCAGCAGGCGCGAAACCUCCGCAAUGCGCGAAAGCGCGACGGGGCCACCCCGAGUGCCGCCCGCUGAGGGCGGCUUUUCCCCGGUGUAGACAGCCGGGGGAAUAAGGGGAGGGCAAGUCUGGUGUCAGCCGCCGCGGUAAUACCAGCUCCCCGAGUGGUGGGGACGAUUAUUGGGCCUAAAGCGUCCGUAGCCGGCCCGGCAAGUCUCCCGUUAAAUCCAGCGAUCUAAUCGCUGGACUGCGGGAGAUACUGUCGGGCUAGGGGGCGGGAGAGGCCGGCGGUAUUCCCGGGGUAGGGGUGAAAUCCUAUAAUCCCGGGAGGACCACCAGUGGCGAAGGCUGCCGGCUGGAACGCGCCCGACGGUGAGGGACGAAAGCCGGGGGAGCGAACCGGAUUAGAUACCCGUGUAGU
rnacentral:rRNA from 1 species